rnacentral:rRNA from 1 species
CCAGCUCCAAUAGCGUAUAUUAAAGUUGUUGCAGUUAAAAAGCUCGUAGUUGGAUUUCUGUUUCGAGACGUCGGUCCGGUUUCUAUGAGACUGUGUACUAUGAUGGCUUGAGACUUUUUUGUGAGGAUGUUUUUCUGCUAUUAAGUUAGUGGUUAAAUAGACUUGCAUCUUUUACUGUGAAAAAAUUAGAGUGUUUAAAGCAGGCGUUUGCUCAUUUGAAUACAUUAGCAUGGAAUAAUAAGAUACGACUCUGGUGGUCUAUUUUGUUGGUUUGCACACCAGAAUAAUGAUUAAUAGGGACAGUUGGGGGUAUUCAUAUUUCAGCGUCAGAGGUGAAAUUCUUGGAUCGCUGAAAGAUGAGCUUAGGCGAAAGCAUUUACCAAGGAUGUUUUCA